AAGCGGUACAGGUGUUUCUAAAUUAUGAAAAGCAAAAUUUUGCCUAUUCUCACUAUUUCAUGUAGAUUACUAUUCUGGAAGCAUUUUGAAUCUAAGACGUGUAUUUAAAAAUACGUGUUUUAAUGUAGGUACUUUUUGCUUUGUUUCAGUUUUGUACAAGGAUGGCCCACCUUUUUAUCAUUCUACUUAUUCUGUUCUGGUUAAACCAGUUAAAGAGCAGAAUUUCAGAGAUGCAUACGCAGGAGGGAAGCCACAUUUUACCUGGUCUUCCCUUGCAGCUCUGAAUAGGAUAACUACAAAUGCUGGAAAAGGUCUCUUGCUUUUGUAUGUGAUAAAGCCAUCUGCUCUGUCAGAGAAUAAAGUUUCAACUCCUUAUUGCAUCUCACAAUACAAAUUAGAAGAAGUCCUUUUCAAGCGCUGGGUGCCUUCUGAGAGCAGGGAAGAAGAAGAAUUGUCAUAGUCAUCAACUUAAUGAAUUAUGCAUUUAUUAAAUAUUACUUUGAGUAACAAGGACUUAGUGGCAUUUGAACAGAAAUCAAAGGUUUGCAGGUCUGUGUGUUUGAGUGUAAUAUGAACUGAAUAUAUUCUCUGGAGUAUAAGAUGGAAUCGUUCGGUCUAGAAUUAAAUAAUGAAUUCAUUUGUAUAACUGAUGAUUUUCUUUACAUUGUCCUCUUUAGCAGUUCAGUUUAUAACAGUGGUUGGAGAAUUUUGCCUUAAAAUUUUAGAAAACUGCUGAAGAUGCAUGAAUUUUUUUUGUGCAGGAUAUACUGUUGAGACAUGAAUCACAUGAUUACAUUUGUUGUUGAAGAAUGUCUUUAACUUGUAAAUACAAUAAAUUAUUUUAUUAUUUUUUA